rnacentral:rRNA from 1 species
AACGAACGCUGGCGGCAUGCCUAACACAUGCAAGUCGAACGAGACCUCCGGGUCUUUUGGCGCACGGCUGUGUAACGCGUGGGAACCUUCCCUUAGGUUCGGAAUAACUCCCCGAAUGGGGUGCUAAUACCGGACAAUGUCUUCGGACCAAAGAUAUAUUGCGCUGGGUUGGACCAUCGUUGGAUUAGCUAGUUGGGAGGGUAAUAGCUUAACAAGGCGACGAUUCAUAGGUGGUUUGAGAGAAUGAUCAGCCACACUGGGACUAAGACACGGCCCAGAAUCCUACGCGAGGCAGCAGUGGGGAAUAUUGGACAAUGGGCGAAAGCCUGAUCCAGCAAUGCCGCGUAAGUGAUGAAGGCCUUAGGGUUGUAAAGCUCUUUUACCCGGGAUGAUAAUGACAGUACCGGGAGAAUAAGCUCCGGCUAACUCCGUG